rnacentral:rRNA from 1 species
UACGUAGGUGGCAAGCGUUGUCCGGAAUUAUUGGGCGUAAAGCGCGCGCAGGCGGCCUUUUAAGUCUGAUGUGAAAGCCCCCGGCUCAACCGGGGAAGGUCAUUGGAAACUGAGAGGCUUGAGUACAGAAGAGGAAAGCGGAAUUCCACGUGUAGCGGUGAAAUGCGUAGAGAUGUGGAGGAACACCAGUGGCGAAGGCGGCUUUCUGGUCUGUAACUGACGCUGAGGCGCGAAAGCGUGGGGAGCAAACAGG